rnacentral:snRNA from 1 species
GUGCUUGCUUUGGCAGCACACAUGCUAAAAUUGGAACAGUACAGAGAAGAUCAGCAUGGCCCCUGUGCAACGAUGACUGGAAAUUCGUGAAGCACUCCAUAUUCAA